CUCAAUGGCAGUCUGGGACUUAAGGAAGCAUAGAUAAAGAUAAGUGAGAGAGAGAGAGAGAGAGGCGGUAUAAAGAAGAAGAAGAAGGAGAAUCCCCACACAGAACAGAACUUUAAGAGGCGAAAAGAAGUCCAACCCGUAAAACCCAUAACAACAAGAGCCUCUCACAACGCAGGCAAAAGUAAUUUCAAUUACUCUAGAAUUAUAGAGAGAGAGAGAGAGAGAGAGAGAGAGAGAGAGAGAGAGAGAGAGAGAGAGAGAGAGAGAAGGAUCUGGGAUCUCUUUUGUUUUGGUGAUUUUUUUUUUCCUGUUAGCCCGAGAAUCCCUUCUUUGUGCGUGGAGCAGCAAAUCCUUUAAUUUGUUGGGUAGCUUGAGAAAUCUUCUUCGGUUUCUUCGCUGUAGUCAGAAUUCUUGAGGUCGGAGUCCAUUUUCUUCAACUUGCAGAUCUGUAUCUUUGACUUUCGUCUACCCGGGCGUUUUUUCAGAGCAUUCAAGGGAAACUUGGUUUUGUCCAAAUACCUACUCUGAUCCUUUCAUCUUCGUCUAGUAUUUCCCACUUGUGUGCUAUUUGAUUCAGCCGAAGAAAAGAAAACCUAAUUUUUCUUCUCCUUUCUUCAUUUUUCUUUUAAUCAGUUUUAUCUUUGCUCCUUAGUUUAGGAGGAAAUCCAGCAUCUGCUGUCUCCAAAAUUCUUCUUUCUUUGGUUUUUGCUUCUGGGAUUUCUGAGUUGAUAAGGAAGAGUCACUUGGUGUUGACAAGAAAUAAAAUUCACGUCUCUUUUCUUUUUCGUGGCAGGCAUGGAGACAGGGGAGAGGAAUACGACAACGUGUAAACCCUUAGAACCUGAACUUUUUUUACAGUGGGGAAAUAGAAAGCGAGUCAGAUGCGUGAGAGUCAAAGACCCUGAAAUAUCUGCUAGACUAAAUGGUGGAAUACGGAGGAAAAUCACAUCUAGCUUUGCUUCUGAGAAGGAAAGCUUCCAUCUUCAACCCAAUCGGCUCUCCAGGAGUACGGAGGGAAGUACGCUGCGGAAAUCGGCGUCGCUGGAGAAGGAGAGGUAUUAUAGCACGAGAGGGUCAGUGAUUGUGGAGGAAAAUGGGAAGGUAUCUGUGGAUGUGAAUAAUAAUGGCAUUGGGGAAGAGAGAGGGUUGGCUUUGCCAAAGCUGUAUAUCACUCUGUCGAGCAAAGAGAAAGAGGAGGAUUUUAUGGCUAUGAAGGGUUGUAAGCCUCCACAGAGGCCUAAGAAGAGGGCCAAGAUCAUCCAACGAAGUGUACUUUUGGUGAGUCCUGGGGCCUGGCUGACUGAUAUGUGCCAUGAGAGAUAUGAAGUUAGAGAGAAGAAGAAUUCUAAGAAGAGAUCAAGAGGAUUGAAGUCCAUGGGGAGUAUGGACAGCGAUUCAGAAUGAGAGAUGCGUAGGAUGUAUUUGCAGUCGCUGAGGCCCUUUCCUUUGGAAAUUUUUAGGAGCUGGGUUGGAGGAUGAGUUUUUCUCUUUCGGAGUGUUGGAACAAGGAAUUGAAAUGUUAAGAUCAAACUGCGAGGAGCGAGGGUAUAUGAGGACACGAUGAUGUGGAAAAGAGUCCCAACUUUGGCUUCUUUAUUUGUGGUUUGGACUUGGAUACAUUAAUUUCACCUAUUUGUGAUGGGUACAUAAAAACACAUACGCUCGGCCGAUGAUUCCCUUGGGAAAGAAUUCAAGAAUGACGUUGAGGCCAAUGCUAUCCUUGAGCUAUAUUUUUGCAUGGAGCUUUAACGUCGGUACUGGCAAAUUAAAACCUCGCUUUCUAUGGUGUAAUGUUGGCCAAGUUGAUCGAGAAACGAAUUGAGCGUGAAA